rnacentral:rRNA from 1 species
GAUUGUAGGCUGAAACUCGCCUACAUGAAGCUGGAGUUACUAGUAAUCGCAGAUCAGAAUGCUGCGGUGAGUGCGUUCCCGGGUCUUGUACACACCGCCCGUCACACCACGGAAGUUGGGGGCGCCCGAAGCCACUUAGCUAACCCUUUUGGGAAGCGAGUGUCGAAGGUGAAAUCAAUAACUGGGGUGAAGUCGUAACAAGGUAUC